AUUGAACGCUGGCGGCAUGCUUUACACAUGCAAGUCGAACGGUAACAGGCCUUCGGGCGCUGACGAGUGGCGAACGGGUGAGUAAUGCAUCGGAACGUGCCCAGUCGUGGGGGAUAACGCAGCGAAAGCUGUGCUAAUACCGCAUACGAUCUGCGGAUGAAAGCGGGGGACCUUCGGGCCUCGCGCGAUUGGAGCGGCCGAUGUUAGAUUAGGUAGUUGGUGGGGUAAAGGCUCACCAAGCCAACGAUCUGUAGCUGGUCUGAGAGGACGACGAGCAACAGUGGGAAUGAGACACGGCCCAGAAUCCUACGGGAGGCAGCAGUGGGGAAUUUUGGACAAUGGGCGCAAGCCUGAUCCAGCAAUGCCGCGUGCAGGAAGAAGGCCUUCGGGUUGUAAACUGCUUUUGUACGGAGCGAAAAGGCUCCCUCUAAUACAGGGGGCUCAUGACGGUACCGUAAGGAUAAGCACCGGCUAACUACGUGCCAGCAGCCGCAGUAAAAC
rnacentral:rRNA from 1 species